GAUGAACGCUGGCGGCGUGCCUAAUACAUGCAAGUCGAGCGAACAGAUGAGGAGCUUGCUCCUCUGACGUUAGCGGCGGGCGGGUGAGUAACACGUGGAUAACCUACCUAUAAGACUGGGAUAACUUCGGGAAACCGGAGCUAAUACCGGAUAAUAUAUUGACCCGCUUGGUUCAAUAUUUAAAGCCGGUUUUGCUUUCACUUAUAGAUGGAUCCCCCCCACAUUAGCUAGUUGUUAAGUUAACGGCUUACCAAGGCAAAAAUGCUUACCCGACCUGAGUGGGUGAUCGGCAACACUGGAAAUGAGAAACGGUCCAGACUCCUAAGGGAGGCAGCAGUAGGGAAACUUCAGCAAUGGGCGAAAGACUGACGGAGCAACGACGCGUGAGUGAUGAAGGUCUUCGGAUCGUAAAACUCUGUUAUUAGGGAAGAACAAAUGUGUAAGUAACUAUGCACGUCUUGACGGUACCUAAUCAGAAAGCCACGGCUAACUACGUG
rnacentral:rRNA from 1 species